UUUUAGAGAGAGUUCAAGAGUACGUGAAACCGUUCGGGGGUAAACGGACAGAGCCCGUGAAUCCGGGCGGCGGAAUUCAGAAUCGACGGCGUUCGCGCGUCGUCGGUUCGAUAUUUCCGUCGCCGUUCAAUUACGGACGUCGCGACCCGUUCGGUGUCGGUCCGAGGAGACGUGUAAAAGUUCGACGGCGCGUGUCGAGUCGUUUCGGCGGCUAGGCGCGCGUCGUUGAGUCGCGUAUUCUGGCCGACUCGCCGGACGGUACGUGUAACGGUGGCCGCGGCGACCUAGCGUCGUCGUUGGUACCGGUCUGCGACGAAUCUUCGGGCCUCUUUCCGACCCGUCUUGAAACACNNACCAAAA
rnacentral:rRNA from 1 species